AUCAAUGGACAUGACAAAAUUCGAAUUCGUUCUUCUAGAAGUUGUGCAACAAUUGAAUCCGAUGGAUUAUGACAUAUUUGUAAUCAAGCUUAUGCAAUUAUGGGGUAAUGGUGGACUUUCUCGUACAAUUGCAAAUGACAAGGUCAUGAAGUAAAGGGAAAAACUCCUAACACAAUUGAUAAUGUUACCAAAAAAUGAAGUCAGGGAAAAUGUCUACCGGUCUAUGGAUCAGUGAUGUUGUU